rnacentral:rRNA from 1 species
UACGUAGGGGGCGAGCGUUGUCCGGAUUUACUGGGCGUAAAGGGUGAGUAGGCGGUUGUAUAUGUCAGAUGUAAAAGGCUAUGGCUUAACUAUAGUAAGCAUUUGAAACUGUACAACUUGAGUGCAGGAGAGGUAAGUGGAAUUCCUAGUGUAGCGGUGAAAUGCGUAGAUAUUAGGAGGAACACCAGUGGCGAAGGCGACUUACUGGACUGUAACUGACGCUGAGUCACGAAAGCGUGGGUAGCAAACAGGAUUAGAUACCCUAGUAGUCC